rnacentral:tRNA from 1 species
UCGCCGUGGCCUAGUGGAUAAGGCGCCCGCCUUGGGAUCGGGAGGUCGUAGGUUCGAGCCCCAUGGGGAG